GAUAUAAUUAGACCCAUUGAAAAGUGAUGGCCUAUUUGUCAAUUGUCUCUUGACAAGUGAGCCUCCUAGUUGGGUUGCCAUAAACUUAGCUUUUGACGAUUAGGUCAACAAGUAAUAUUAAAGAAUCUAACUCUAAUACCAAUUAUUGUUCAGUCAAACAACCCAAGAGGAGGGGGAUAAAUUAAAUUUUUUUUUAAACUUAAAACAAGUAUGUGCUGAGUUAACUAUUUUACCUUUAAUGUAAUUAUGCAGUGAAUGCAAUGUAUGAAUAAAAGAAUGAAGAAAGCAAGCACACACACAAAGAUAAGAGGAUUUUUAUAGUGAUUCAGUGCACACCCAGCAC
rnacentral:lncRNA from 1 species